UCUGGCUUUUGAACUCCUUCAUGAUCUCCAGGAAGCCGUUGUAGGUGGCGGGGUCGCUGCCGAAGCGGAUCUUCACCUGGUCCAGGAGGAGGUGGCUGAUAGGAAGCCUCGUGGGAGUGCCCAUGCUGAUUAUGAUGGCUAGUGUGUCCGCUAGAAACAGAGCCAAAGAAAACUGGGCAGAUGAAGCCUUCCACUGGAGCAAAAGGUGAGGCGUGAGAAUGAGUUGCCGUCAUGAAAACCUGCCAUGCAACAGUGGACAAAGUUAAAGACCACAUACACCAGCUAUGAAGGACUAACUAGUAAAGGACAUCCUACUUGCACAGUCUGACAUAGAACAUACAGGCUGGUUACUUACAAAGACAUGUGAAGAAUUUCAUUUGUUUCUGGCCUCCAGACCCCACGCAGCAGUUGCUCAAAGUUAGACAUCAAGGCAACACCAGAACCUGUGGAACAAUAAAGGCAAACAGCUAGAACUGCCACACCAGAAGAGAGCUCUGCUGACUCCUCUACAUCCCCACAGGAUAAGCACAAUAUAAUGGGAAGGUUUGUGACAUCCAUCCCAAAAUUAAAAUAAAGUUAUCCUAAAACAA